rnacentral:rRNA from 1 species
UACGAAGGGGGCUAGCGUUGCUCGGAAUCACUGGGCGUAAAGCGCACGUAGGCGGCUUUUUAAGUCAGGGGUGAAAUCCUGGAGCUCAACUCCAGAACUGCCUUUGAUACUGAGGAUCUUGAGUUCGGGAGAGGUGAGUGGAACUGCGAGUGUAGAGGUGAAAUCCGUAGAUAUUCGCAAGAACACCAGUGGCGAAGGCGGCUCACUGGCCCGAUACUGACGCUGAGGCACGAAAGCGUGGGGAGCAAACAGG